AGAGUUUGAUCAUGCCUCAGAUUGAACGCUGGCGGCAGGCCUAACACAUGCAAGUCGAGCGGUAGAGAGAAGCUUGCUUCUCUUGAGAGCGGCGGACGGGUGAGUAAUGCCUAGGAAUCUGCCUGGUAGUGGGGGAUAACGUUCGGAAACGGACGCUAAUACCGCAUACGUCCUACGGGAGAAAGCAGGGGACCUUCGGGCCUUGCGCUAUCAGAUGAGCCUAGGUCGGAUUAGCUAGUUGGUGGGGUAAUGGCUCACCAAGGCGACGAUCCGUAACUGGUCUGAGAGGAUGAUCAGUCACACUGGAACUGAGACACGGCCCAGACUCCUACGGGAGGCAGCAGUGGGGAAUAUUGGACAAUGGGCGAAAGCCUGAUCCAGCCAUGCCGCGUGUGUGAAGAAGGUCUUCGGAUUGUAAAGCACUUUAAGUUGGGAGGAAGGGCAGUAAAUUAAUACUUUGCUGUUUUGACGUUACCGACAGAAUAAGCACCGGCUAACUCUGUGCCAGCAGCCGCGGUAAUACAGAGGGUGCAAGCGUUAAUCGGAAUUACUGGGCGUAAAGCGCGCGUAGG
rnacentral:rRNA from 1 species